rnacentral:rRNA from 1 species
GGCGGCAGGCCUAACACAUGCAAGUCGAGCGGUAGAGAGAAGCUUGCUUCUCUUGAGAGCGGCGGACGGGUGAGUAAUACCUAGGAAUCUGCCUGAUAGUGGGGGAUAACGUUCGGAAACGGACGCUAAUACCGCAUACGUCCUACGGGAGAAAGCAGGGGACCUUCGGGCCUUGCGCUAUCAGAUGAGCCUAGGUCGGAUUAGCUAGUUGGUGAGGUAAUGGCUCACCAAGGCUACGAUCCGUAACUGGUCUGAGAGGAUGAUCAGUCACACUGGAACUGAGACACGGUCCAGACUCCUACGGGAGGCAGCAGUGGGGAAUAUUGGACAAUGGGCGAAAGCCUGAUCCAGCCAUGCCGCGUGUGUGAAGAAGGUCUUCGGAUUGUAAAGCACUUUAAGUUGGGAGGAAGGGCAGUUACCUAAUACGUGACUGUCUUGACGUUACCGACAGAAUAAGCACCGGCUAACUCUGUGCCAGCAGCCGCGGUAAUACAGAGGGUGCAAGCGUUAAUCGGAAUUACUGGGCGUAAAGCGCGCGUAGGUGGUUUGUUAAGUUGAAUGUGAAAUCCCCGGGCUCAACCUGGGAACUGCAUCCAAAACUGGCAAGCUAGAGUAUGGUAGAGGGUAGUGGAAUUUCCUGUGUAGCGGUGAAAUGCGUAGAUAUAGGAAGGAACACCAGUGGCGAAGGCGACUACCUGGACUGAUACUGGCACUGAGGUGCGAAAGCGU